rnacentral:lncRNA from 1 species
GUUCUUCUGAGCUAUCUGUACAUUAAAGAAUCCUGAAACAAGGAUUCGGUGUACACGAAAAUAUUAAGCAACAGUUUUUAAAAAAGAUUAUAAUAAGAAAUGUUUAUUCAUCUGUUAAUCUGUCAUUCAAUCACACUGUCAUUUAUAAAACUAAUUCUUCUCACUAUUUUUUUUUCACUGUGUGAUGAUCCUGACACACUGUUUUCUCUAUCCCAUCUUUUCUAGGCCCUUCAGUCUUUAUUCCCUCGUUUGCCUGAAUCAGGUCGAGGGCCCUCUCUGUUUGAGCGCAGUGCAGGGGCCCCAGGGCCUGAUGGGGACAAGCUGAGACUAGACACUUUUCCUUUCCUCGGCUCAGGGGCUCCUUGUUACUCCAAACCUCCAUCCCUGUUGGGUCCUUACCCACGGAACCCCUCUUUUGACUACCCCUGGGGCUUCAAUCCCUACCUCCCAGGGGCCUUUUCUCUGAACAACUGUCCCAAAUUGCCCCCAGGCUCCUUCUACUCCUCACAUUUCUAUCCCAACCCGCUCCAAUCCAGCCUGUCUCAGCUGUCUCACCCCUUCUCUUCGCUCUUACCCCCCGGAGACACAACAGGGGCAGAACGUGGUCAAACGGGAGGAACGAACGGCUCUGCAGGCGGACAGCCUCCCAGACUCUGCAUCCCACCAUACCCAGGGAACUUGCCACUGGGUCGGACUGAGCUGGGGAACGGGGGUACGGGUGUGGGCGACCGGGAAAGAGGGGAGGCCAACACUGCCGUAACAGGUGGAGGUCUUGGUUUGGGGUUAGGCCUUGGAUUGGGUUUGGGUGGAGUCGGCGUGGGAAGCGGUGGAGGAGGCCGUCAAAGCCCUUCCGAGCGGAGGAAGGGUGUGAAGCAGGAUCCGGAGUCUGACUCUGAGCUGGAGAUCACUGACCUGAGCGACUGCAGCUCAGAGAACGAGAACGAGCCAGACUUCUCUCUGGGGAAGGAGCCAGGUUUGGGAGGUCGCUCACACCUUCUAGAGGCCAAAUCUAGGGGUCUUGGGGGAGUCCUACCCCCUCUUUCUUCACUGCCUCCACCUGUGUCUCCACAUCCCCUUAAAAGUCUGGGACCCCUGACUCCUCCACCAUCAUCCCUGCCUCCAUCCCUCUCUCCCUCCCUCACUAUGGUCAACAGGCACAGGGAAACAGAGACUCUUAAACUUGCUCACAGUUAAUAUGUUCUGUUGUGUGAUUUUUGAUGUCUUACAGGUUCUCUCUUUCUCUUUUUCUGUCUGUGUAUUCCUGCAUUUGUGAAAUGAUGCUGUAUAUUCCCAUUUCAUUUUUUUCUUCCUCUUUUCCGGAGUCCUCUGAAGCCAUUCUUCGCACAUGCUGUUCCAGUAUCAGAACUUUCAAUUUCUGCUUUCUUCAAUUUCUAAAUCGCACAGUGAGACUCUCAAUGCAAUUUGAGUUUUUGUUAUUCUGAGAGUAAAAGUGCAGCACAAAACAAAAAAGAAAAAAACUGCUUUCUGGAUUAGAAUGUUUAAAUAUCUAAAGAAAUUUCAUUCUCUCAUUUCUGUUAGGAAACAGUAACGAUGAGAUAUUUUAUAGCCAAGACAGCACAGUAAUGAAAUAUGCAUAUCUUUUAUCACCUACUUUUUAAAUUGCACUGCAUUCUGGCCCUGCUGAGAUAGGCAGUACAUUUGUUCUGCUUGGUGUAUUUCACAGACUUUUCCAUAAAUUAAUGCUAAGCUCUGCAAUACAGUGCUCAGAUGAACAGCAUAACACAAACAAAAUGCAAUAAUGGCAACACUCAUAAUAAUCUUAAGGUGAUUCAGUUGUGCUGCAAUAAAGCACUUUUGUUUUUAGUUUUGUGCUGAUUUCAAGGAAUUCAGUCAUAUAUAUGGUCAAACAUUGCCAUCUUGUGGUUAUAUUUAUCUAAGCCCUUCAAAGUUUCUGAAGAGAAACUUUAUCUAUUUAUGUAUUAUUUAAGUUUUUGUAUUUAUUUAUUUAUUUAAGUUCGUCUUUCUAUCUCUGAGCUGGAUGUUUUUUUAAUGGACUGCUCAUGCCAGUGAAUAUUUAAAGUUUGUAUCUAUUUCAUUGUAUAUAUUUUAUUAUUGUGUACAUUAUGUUUAAUUACUAUUACUAUAUGGGAUAGUUGUAUUGGUGUCAUUUUACUCUGUACCUAACUGAAGAGUGAUAUAUGAGAUGGGAAAAUGGAUAUAUGUGUAGUGACCCAAAGUUGACAGAGAAAGGGCACUUGUUUUUCACAUGCUCAUAAGAAGGCGUUUAGACAGGGAAGUGUGCAAAACAGUUCUGCUGUUUCUAAUUGUGCCCUGUGGAAAUUUUCCCCAGAUACCUCCAAGUAGAUGACCCUUCUGGACUGAGUUACGCCGCUAGUCUCAUAUUUCAAUAAUUCAUUCACCCAGUGGUGAUGUACUAUAAUGAAUCAAGUGUGAAUAAUAUUAGUUGCAGCAUUUGCAAAUUUUUUAACCAGUGUUCAUUCUAAUGUUAUUAAGUUUGAUAUAUGAUCAUCCGAUUUGAAUGUAAAAACAAUAAAUGGGAGCAGAAUGACACAAUCUGAUUAAAAGAUUACCUUCAAAUACAAUUCAGACAAGUUGGUGCCCGUACUAGAGGAGAUUUCAGCUGUACAUAGGGCUUUGUGUAUUUGUGUGUACACACUGAAAAGAAAAAAAUACCAUUUACCUUACAGUAAAGCUUUUCUUUGUUUUAUUGUGAAAUUUAAAACAGAAAGGAUGACUAGAACAAAAAAUGAGCAAAGAGUAAUAUCUUCAAGAGCA